rnacentral:rRNA from 1 species
UACGUAGGUGGCAAGCGUUGUCCGGAAUUAUUGGGCGUAAAGCGCGCGCAGGCGGUCCUUUAAGUCUGAUGUGAAAUCCCGUGGCUUAACCACGGGCGGUCAUUGGAAACUGGGGGACUUGAGUGCAGAAGAGAAGAGCGGAAUUCCACGUGUAGCGGUGAAAUGCGUAGAGAUGUGGAGGAACACCAGUGGCGAAGGCGGCUCUUUGGUCUGUAACUGACGCUGAGGCGCGAAAGCGCGGGGAGCGAACAGG